CGCGUAGGCGGUUUUUUAAGUCAGAGGUGAAAGCCCGGGGCUCAACCCCGGAAUUGCCUUUGAAACUGGAAAACUUGAAUCUUGGAGAGGUCAGUGGAAUUCCGAGUGUAGAGGUGAAAUUCGUAGAUAUUCGGAAGAACACCAGUGGCGAAGGCGACUGACUGGACAAGUAUUGACGCUGAGGUGCGAAAGCGUGGGGAGCAAACA
rnacentral:rRNA from 1 species